CAGCAGCCGCGGUAAUACAGAGGGUGCGAGCGUUAAUCGGAUUUACUGGGCGUGAAGCGUGCGUAGGCGGCUUCUUAAGUCGGAUGUGAAAUCCCUGAGCUUAACUUAGGAAUUGCAUUCGAUACUGGGAAGCUAGAGUAUGGGAGAGGAUGGUAGAAUUCCAGGUGUAGCGGUGAAAUGCGUAGAGAUCUGGAGGAAUACCGAUGGCGAAGGCAGCCAUCUGGCCUAAUACUGACGCUGAGGUACGAAAGCAUGGGGAGCAAACAGGAUUAGAGACCCCCGUAGUCCCUGUCUCUUAUAC
rnacentral:rRNA from 1 species